GCUCAUUGGUAUUGGAAAUUUCCUGAGGAUAUGGACUCUGGUUUGGUCUUCUUUAUUUCCCCUUGUAAAUAAAGGAAGGGCAUGAACAGAUAAACAGCUUACCAGAGGUCUCACUCUGAGUGGAGUGGAGCCAGAAGCCAGCUGCCAUCCUGCUUGGUGAGGCCCACCUGGUGAGAAACUGAAGCAUCUUGUCAGUAGCAAUGUGAGUGAGCUUGGGAACAGAUCUUCCAUACCAGUCAAAUCUUCAGAUGACUGUAAUCCCAGCCGACAUUUUGACUGCAACUUUAUGAGCUAGAACCGCACAGCUAAGCUGCUCUUAGAUUUCUGACUCAGAAGCUGUGUGAGCAUAAGUGCAUUGUUAUCAAUUGCUAAGUUUUGAGAUGAUUUGUUGUAGAUAAAUAAUAUACCAUAGAAUCAUGCUUGAGUUGCUCUUUUCAAAACCAGACCCUUCUUUAAUUCCGUGUAUCCCAUCAGCUCCUGUCACAUUUCCCUUUUCCUUUUUAAAACAUUUCCAUUUCUUACUUUGCUGUAUUUUUUCAGUCCAUUUCAGACUUUUGUUCUUACCACUCUAUUCAAAUUGCUCGUGUCAAAGUCACUGAAGACUUCAAUGUUACAUCCAAUAGUAAAUUUAUACAUACAUUUUUUAUCACAGUUGGCCUCUCCGGUUGGUAAUAUUUAACUUGAAGCAUUGUCUUUGCAUGGUUUCCAGGAAAAUCCAGUUUCCAUUUUUCAUUUCUCCUUCUCCUCAUCUUUCAGUGUUGCGUUUCCCUAGAGCCGUGUUUUGAUUAGUUAUUCCGAUUCUACACCUACUGAUUGUUCAGUUACACCAUACUGAAUAACAUUUGAAAAGUCAAGCAAUGGAUAAAGUUUCCCUGAACAUAAAAAAAAUCAGUGUCAAGAGGCUUUUUUUAUUUUUUAAUUUGGGCAGGGACUUUGGUCAUCCAAUAGAACCAAAUGUUCUCUGUUUUUUUCAGAAUUCUGUCUGAACACUAGUUAGGAAUGUUCCAUAACUGCCAGACUAAUAUAAUACAGAUAUUUAUAUAUAU
rnacentral:lncRNA from 1 species